AGCGAACGCUGGCGGCAGGCCUAACACACGCAAGUCGAACGAAGUCUUCGGACUUAGUGGCGGACGGGUGAGUAACACGUGGGAACGUGCCUUUAGGUUCGGAAUAACUCAGGGAAACUUGUGCUAAUACCGAAUGUGCCCUUAGGGGGAAAGAUUUAUCGCCUUUAGAGCGGCCCGCGUCUGAUUAGCUAGUUGGUGGGGUAAUGGCCCACCAAGGCUACGAUCAGUAGCUGGUCUGAGAGGAUGACCAGCCACAUUGGGACUGAGACACGGCCCAAACUCCUACGGGAGGCAGCAGUGGGGAAUCUUGCGCAAUGGGCGAAAGCCUGACGCAGCCAUGCCGCGUGGAUGAUGAAGGUCUUAGGAUUGUAAAAUCCUUUUACCGGUGAAGAUAAUGACUGUAGCCGGAGAAGAAGCCCCGGCUAACUUCGUGCCAGCAGCCGCGGUAACAC
rnacentral:rRNA from 1 species